AUGAAGACGUCUCAUACCUGGUGACCGCUCAUGUGUUUCCGCCAGACUCUUCAGUAGCACAUCGGACGCUUGGGACUAUCUUAGGUGGAUGACUCGUUACUGACAUCCAUGAGCAGAAGGGGGUUGAGGACGGCCCGCAAAACACCUCCAGGGUUGAAGCAACGCCUCUCGCCUCUCUCGCAUCCCCUCACGAAGAGCUUCGCCUCACCCUGAUCCUCCGAAGAUCCCCCGCGAGAAAUGUGCGUGAGG